CUACGGGAUGCACCAGUGGGGAAUCUUGCGCAAUGGGCGAAAGCCUGACGCAGCAACGCCGCGUGCGGGAAGAAGGCUCUCGGGUUGUAAACCGCUUUCAGCAGGAACGAAAAUGACGGUACUUGCAGAAGAAGGUGCGGCCAACUACGUGCCAGCAGCCGCGGUGACACGUAGGCACCAAGCGUUGUCCGGAUUUAUUGGGCGUAAAGAGCUCGUAGGCGGUUCGGUAAGUCGGGUGUGAAAACUUUGGGCUUAACCCAAAGCCUGCAUCCGAUACUGCUGUGACUAGAGUUCGGUAGGGGAGUGGGGAAUUCCUAGUGUAGCGGUGAAAUGCGCAGAUAUUAGGAGGAACACCGGUGGCGAAGGCGCCACUCUGGGCCGAUACUGACGCUGAGGAGCGAAAGCGUGGGUAGCAAACAGGAUUAGAUACCCCGGUAGUC
rnacentral:rRNA from 1 species